UACGUAGGCAGCAAGCGUUGUUCGGAAUUACUGGGCGUAAAGAGUGUGUAGGCGGUGCUCCAAGUCUGGUGUGAAAUCUCCCGGCUUAACUGGGAGGGUGCAUUAGAAACUGGAAUGCUAGAGGAUGGGAGAGGUAAGCGGAAUUCCUGGUGUAGCGGUGAAAUGCGUAGAUAUUGGGAGGAACACCGGUGGCGAAGGCGGCUUUCUGGUCCGAAACUGACACUGAGAUGCGAAAGCCAGGGGAGCAAACGGG
rnacentral:rRNA from 1 species